rnacentral:misc_RNA from 1 species
CCUGUCCGAGCGUCAUUUCAACCCUCAAGCACCGCUUGGUCUUGGGCGCGGUCCAGCGACCCGCCCGUAACGCCUCUGGCGGCACCGUCCGGGUCUGAGCGCAGCGAGAUUUAUUCACGCGCUCGGGGACGCGGCGGCGCUGCCACCUAACGCACCGAGAGUUUGACCUCGGAUCAGGUGGGGAUACCCGCUGAACUUAA